rnacentral:misc_RNA from 1 species
CAAUAGCGGGACCGAUUUUUUUUUUUGAGAAGGGGCAGCACACAUCUACGCAUUCAUAUGCUAGCACGCACGCCUUACCGUUUGUGGACACCAAGGUACUUCCGUGGGCAAGCCAGUGCCGGGCGGUACCUUGGCAAGCGACGCGUGCGAGCCCUCGAUGCUGCACCUCCUCACUGCUUGACUGGGGCGGCGAAGGGAGGAGAGACCGUGACAGUGUGCGCCUUACCGACGCGCGCCCCACCGCCACCGAAGCCUGCCAGAAAAUCGCCAGCUGAGGACGCACCGUCAAGCCCCUCCGUAGGGCAGAACCUAAAUCAGCCCCGGAUCAGCGGUCUCCACUCGCCUCCGCCGGAUAUCUUGCACACCAGCAACCCGUUGGUGCAACGCGCACAGGAGCUGCUUCAUGAGCUCACCACCGUCGGCUACUCGCAAUCCUCCCUGUCCCCUGCUGCCGCGAAAGGGUUUGCCGAGUUUAGUGCCAGGCGCGAUGUGCUAGGGCCUCUCCGUGGCCUUCUUCCUCCCCCUGCGAAGACGAGUGGUGGCGACUCUGCUAACCCUGCGUCGCGUCAGCGCUUCCGCGUUGUGCCGGUGGUGAGCGGCAGCCCUGUCGUGCCUCCUCGUGGCCCGCGGAUGACGGCAGCGGCCGACUUUGCCCUCUCUGAUUUAGUUUUGUUUCUGCGACUGUACGACAGCGCCAACGUGGAAGAUGGACAGCUGCUGGUGCAGGUGAUGAACGAAAUUCGUCGGCAGCUGUUUGCCUUGGCAGAGACUGCGGCCGAUGCGGCUGCCGCGCGAGACGGCAGCUCCACUCCCUCUGUGGCGGGUACCACUGUAGGCGAUCACGAUCUGGAAGCGGCGAAUAAGGGGGUGAAGGGGAUAUCGCGGGCGCCUAGCGCAUCACCGCUUCCCCUUCCUGCGAUGCUCUACACAAUGUCCUCGCUCGGUAUCGUCGAGGAAGCCGUCCUCGAUGUGGUGACGAGUUGCGCCGUGCACGAUGGCGCACGCGGCAGGCGUGGCCUCCUCUACUCACAGCUGCGCCUCUACUCUGUGGCGGAUUUACUGCAGCUGCUCGUCGCGCUUCAUCGCUUUGGGCACCAGCAGCAGCCAUCGACAAUGGCUGUAACAAAGGCGCUGCGUGCUUCUCUGUAUAGCACCUCCACCACAACAAGUCGUUUUCACAGGCGCGCAAGAUCGUUGAAGAAGGCGUUCGCUGCGCGGUCACGGACCCCGGCGUCCGGAGAGGGACGCGUUGACGCGACAGCGGCCGAUGCCGACACUGGUGGCGUGGCUGCCAUGAUUGCGGCGGAUGAGGAGCUCAGCUCCCUCGCCCUUGGGCUGGAGUGCCCCCUCUUUUUGCUUCUUGAAGCGCUGACCGCGACGGCGACUACAGUGCACCGCCGCGCAGACGUUGUGGCAUUUCUAUCCGACCUGAUCGCCGUCACGGCAGUGGCGGAGCUGACGACAGCGGUGCACGAGAGCCGCGGGAGGCACUCGCCUGCCGGUUGCGAGGACCUUGCACGAGAGGCACAAGAGUUUGUCUUCGCCGUGUCACAUCAGCUCUUGCGUGCAGCGAAGCUCACCGAAUGCAUGGAACUUCCACAGAUCCUUCUCUCCGAUGUUUUUGCAUGGAGCACGACGCUGUCGGGCAGAGGGGUGUUCGUGGACGGCGGCGAGGACAACGCCGUGCCGUCCGAUCGUGUCGCCUACUACGAUCAUGUGACGGCUGACCUGAUCAAAGCAAACAGUGCAGAUUGAGAGGCGCUGCGCACGGGGUGGUGCACGGCACUCCGCCGCACCUUUCCGAUUCGGCUAUUUUUUUGUUUCGCGCCGGUGUCGAAAACGUCGCAUAACGUAAACGCCGCGUCGCAGAGGUGCGUGCAGACAUGCACACGCACGUCUGCACCGCCGCGUUUAAACGGCGGCGGCGGGGAACAGGCAAAAGUAACUGGAUAAGGGGAAGAGGACGGCGUCGGUGCCACACUGUCGCCGCCACCCCGCCGCCCAUCCAUCGUUGGAUUUUGCCGAGCCGGGAGCAUGGUCGCAGAGCUCUCAGGUGUGGUGGCGGUGGCGGUGGCGGCUACGUCUUCUCGAGGACCUAUCGCCUCCCCAGUGGUGACUCAUUAAGCGACCUUCAUCACCCACACGCAGACCUACACAAGCAGGAACUCCCCUUCUACUUUUCUCCUCCACGGAAUUAUUUGAGGGCCAACCCCCGCCGCGGCGCCGACAUCAUCACUGGAACUCGGACACGCGUUUGUAUAG